rnacentral:rRNA from 1 species
AUUGAACGCUGGCGGCAGGCCUAACACAUGCAAGUCGAACGGUAACAGGAAGCAGCUUGCUGCUUCGCUGACGAGUGGCGGACGGGUGAGAAAUGUCUGGGAAGCUGCCUGAUGGAGGGGGAUAACUACUGGAAACGGUAGCUAAUACCGCAUAAUGUCGCAAGACCAAAGAGGGGGACCUUCUGGCCGCUUGCCAUCGGAUGUGCCCAGAUGGGAUUAGCUUGUUGGUGGGGUAACGGCUCACCAAGGCGACGAUCCCUAGCUGGUCUGAGAGGAUGACCAGCCACACUAGAACUGAGACACGGUCCAGACUCCUACGAGAGGCAGCAGUGGGGAAUAGUGCACAGUGGGGGCAAGCCUGAUGCAGCCGUGCCGCGUGUAUGAAGAAGGCCUUCGGGUUGUAAAGUACUUUCAGCGGGGAGGAAGGGAGUAAAGUUAAUACCUUGGCUCAUUGACGUUACCCGCAGAAGAAGCACCGGCUAACUCCGUG